rnacentral:tRNA from 1 species
CAGAAAAUAAUAUAUAAAUAGUAUAUAAAUUUUGGAGAUUUAAAGAGAAAAAUCUUUCUGA